GCCAGGUGUGGUGGCUCACACCUGUAGUCCCAGCUACUUGGGAGGCUGAGGUGGGAGGAUUGCUUGAGCCCAGAAUGUCGAGGCUGCAGUGAGCUGAGAAGGUGCCGCUGCACUCCAGCCUGGGCAACAGAGUGAGACCCUGUCUCUA
ensembl:misc_RNA Metazoa_SRP Metazoan signal recognition particle RNA